UCUUCAGUGAGGUACAUCCUUACCUGUUACUCCUUCAAAGGAGUAUCAGAUCAUGAUGAGUGGAGACAUAUGAGAUAUGAUUAUAUCUCCAUCCCGUGGGGAACCGCAACACCCCACGGGAUCCAUUCUGAC
rnacentral:snoRNA from 1 species